GAUUUUUCUCUGUUGCUCCAACAGACUGAAUCAGAGGCAAAGGAUGGAAAUUGCAGAGAAAUUGGUUUCAGCUAAACUUUCAGAGAGCUUCUCGAUGGGAAGAUCCUUUCAACAAUGGAAGAGUUUAUCUCGGAAGGUGGAGGCCCAAUCUCUGUCAUCUGUGGCACUCUAGCUGUCCACAUAGAGGAGCCGCCUAUCACAAUGAAACUGAGAAAUUCUACACAUCCUUUGUUUUCCA
rnacentral:lncRNA from 11 species